AUGGGAAAGUCGGCUUGCCAGUUUCAACAAUCCGAAUUAAACGGCACCGUUCCAUUCUAUAGAAACUAACAUUGAAUUUAAAAUUAGUAAUCGUAUGGAAUGAGCUGGCAAGAGAACCAGAGAAACGACGCAACCAAGCGAAGAGCCGUGCAAGAAAGAAGCUUGCUUGUCUCUCCAAGAACGACUUCCUCCCUCAAAGGUGCCUUAAGGUCAUUGAAAAAUCUUCAUUCUUGCUGUGAGAAAUGCAAGAACAAGUCACAUUGUGGUUCUGUGUCUAGCCUUCUGAAGCAAAUUCCCUAUUGAGAGCCCAUAUCUCGUGUGUGCAAACUACAAGGCAUCCAUGUUUUGCUAAUUGGUAGUUUCUACUAGGGAAUAUUCACAAGAAAGCCAUUACUUUAGAUAUAUUUUCCACAUCAUGGCACACAACAAAUCAAUUUCUUUUGGGUUUUGAGGUAGAGAUGUAUGAGGAUCUGAUUUCAGAAAAAAAAAAUACAAAAAACUGUAUGAGAACUAUUAUUCACCAGAUAAUAGUAUUCUCCAAGAUAAAAGAGCUAGAAAACUGUGGAGAUUUUAAUCACAAUCACAAGAAAUGUCUAACGUUAUACUUGGAUGCUUACUGACAUGUUUUAACUGCUCAAAGCUUCAUAUGAAUGAUGUCAAAUGGAUUAUUGAAUAAUUAUGCUGGUUACAGUUUACUUGA